UACGGAGGGUGCGAGCGUUGUCCGGAAUCACUGGGCGUAAAGGGCGCGUAGGCGGCCUGAUAAGUAGGGGGUGAAAUCCUGCGACUUAACCGCAGGGCUGCCUUCUAAACUGUCAGGCUAGAGCACAGUAGAGGCAGGUGGAAUUCCCGGUGUAGCGGUGAAAUGCGUAGAGAUCGGGAGGAACACCUGUGGCGAAGGCGGCAUCCUGGACCGACAUGACGCUGAGGAGCGAAAGCUAGGGGAGCAACGGG
rnacentral:rRNA from 1 species